rnacentral:rRNA from 1 species
AGUGAACGCUGGCGGGAUGCUUUACACAUGCAAGUCGAACGGCAGCGCAGUAAGCGGUUUCUCGUACGGGGGGCGACGGGCGGGUGAGUGAGCGAAACAUCCCCAUUUACUUUUUCGAGCUGGGCAACGGCGUAAAACAUACGCCAAAAGCCCUUCCGACCUACGCGUGAAAUCAUAAGACCUUGCGACCUUGCACCGUUCAAUGAGCCGAUGUCGGAUUAGCUAGUUGGCGGGGUAAAGGCUCACCAAGGCGACGAUCCGUAGCUGGUCUGAGAGGACGACCAGCCACACUGGAACUGAGACACGGUCCAGACUCCUACGGGAGGCAGCAGUGGGGAAUAUUGGACAAUGGGCGCAAGCCUGAUCCAGCCAUACCGCGUGGGUGAUGAAGGCCUUCGGGUUGUAAAGCCCUUUUGUUAGGAAAGAAACGUCGCAGGCUAAUACCCCGCGGUACUGACGGUACCUAAAGAAUAAGCACCGGCUAACUUCGUG